rnacentral:rRNA from 1 species
UGACGUCAAUCAUCAUGCCCUUAUGACCUGGCUACACACGUGCUACAAUGGUUGGUACAACGAGUUGCGAGUCGGUGACGGCGAGCUAAUCUCUUAAAGCCAAUCUCAGUUCGGAUUGUAGGCUGCAACUCGCCUACAUGAAGUCGGAAUCGCUAGUAAUCGCGGAUCAGCACGCCGCGGUGAAUACGUUCCCGGGCCUU